GAUGAAGAACGUAGCGAAAUGCGAUAAGUAAUGUGAAUUGCAGAAUUCAGUGAAUCAUCGAAUCUUUGAACGCACAUUGCGCCCGCCAGUAUUCUGGCGGGCAUGCCUGUUCGAGCGUCAUUUCAACCAUCAAGCCCCAGGCUUGUGUUGGGGACCUGCGGCUGCCGCAGGCCCUGAAAACCAGUGGCGGGCUCGCUGUCACACCGGGCGUAGUAGAUUUUAUCUCGCUCAGGGCGUGCUGCGGGUCCCGGCCGUUAAAAGCCUUUUUUUACCCAAGGUUGACCUCGGAUCAGGUAGGAAGACCCGCUGAACUUAAGCAUAUCAAUAACGAGGA
rnacentral:misc_RNA from 1 species